AUGUAUCAAUGUUUGCACACUACCAGUGUCCAGAAGGGCUUGGACUUUCCUACCACUUAUUUUCACGGUAGUGGUUUGCUGCUUCCCUUCCCAAACCAGGUUCACAUGCAAAUGAGGAGACUCCACUCAGGCAAGUCUGCUGGACCAGACGGAGUGAGUCCCCGCAUCCUCAAGGCCUGUGCCCCCCAGCUGUGUGGAGUCUUUCAUAAACUGUUCAUGCUGAGUCUGAGUCUGCAGAGGGUCCCAGUGCUGUGGAAGACAUCAUGCCUCAUCCCUAUACCAAAGACGCCACAUCCCAGUGGCCCCCAGGAUUACAGGCCCGUGGCACUGACCUCCCAUAUCAUGAAAACCCUGGAAAGGCUAAUCCUGGACCAGCUGCGACCCAUUGUCAGACCACAUCUGGAUCCCCUUCAAUUUGCUUAUCAGCCUCGUCUCGGAACUGAGGACGCCAUCAUCCAUCUUCUCAAUCGUGUCUACACCCAUCUGGACCAGCCGGCGAGCACUGUGAGGGUCAUAUUUUUUUAUUUUUCCAGGGCUUUCAACACCAUCAGGCCGACCCUCCUGGGUGAUAAGUCAACAGCGAUGCAGGUGGAUGCUUCUCUGGUGUCCUGGAUUGUUGAUUACCUGACAGGAAGACCACAAUAUGUACGUCUCCCACAGUGUGUGUCUGACAAGGUAAUCAGCAACAAAGGGGGACCACAAGGGACUGUCCUCUCCCCCUUCCUCUUCACCCUCUACACCACAGACUUCAGCCACUGCACAGAGACCUGCCAUCUUCAGAAGUUUUCUGAUGACUCUGCGAUGGUUGGAUGCAUCAGCAGGGAUGAUGAGACAGAGUACCAGGCUGUGGUCGACUCCUUUGUCAUGUGGUGUGAGCAGAAUCAUCUGCACCUCAACGUGGCAAAGAUCAAGGAAUUGAUAGUGGACUUCAGGAAGACCAGGAAACACUUGACCCCUGUUUCAAUCCAGGGGGUCAAUGUGGACGUUGUGGAUUACUAUAAAUACCUCGGAGUAUACAUUGACAAUAAACUGGACUGGGCUAAAAACACCGCAGCACUUUACAGGAAGGGCCAGAGUCGUCUCUAUUUUUUGAGGCGACUGAGGUCCUUCAACAUCUGCCAGAAAAUGCUCAGGAUUUUCUAUGAGUCUGUUGUGGCCAGUGUGAUCCUCUAUGCUGUUGCAUGCUGGGGGAGCAGGCUGAGGGUCGCAGAUGCCAACAGACUCAAUAAACUGAUCCGUAAGGCCAGUAAUGUUGUGGGGAUGGAGCUGGACUCCCUUAAGGUGGUGUAG
rnacentral:lncRNA from 1 species